rnacentral:rRNA from 1 species
GAUGAACGCUAGCGGCGUGCCUAAUACAUGCAAGUCGAGCGAACAGAUGAGGAGCUUGCUCCUCUGACGUUGGCGGCGGACGGGUGAGUAACACGUGGAUAACCUACCUAUAAGACUGGGAUAACUUCGGGAAACCGGAGCUAAUACCGGAUAAUAUAUUGAACCGCAUGGUUCAAUAGUGAAAGACGGUUUUGCUGUCACUUAUAGAUGGAUCCGCGCCGCAUUAGCUAGUUGGUAAGGUAACGGCUUACCAAGGCAACGAUGCGUAGCCGACCUGAGAGGGUGAUCGGCCACACUGGAACUGAGACACGGUCCAGACUCCUACGGGAGGCAGCAGUAGGGAAUCUUCCGCAAUGGGCGAAAGCCUGACGGAGCAACGCCGCGUGAGUGAUGAAGGUCUUCGGAUCGUAAAACUCUGUUAUUAGGGAAGAACAAAUGUGUAAGUAACUAUGCACGUCUUGACGGUACCUAAUCAGAAAGCCACGGCUAACUACGUG